ACAUCCUAAACACAUAUCUCUGCACCUAAAAUCUUGUUAAUACAAGUUUCUAUUAUCAUGAUCUAAUUUCCAAUAUCCAAUCGACAUAAGCCUUAACAACCUUUUUUUUAAAUCACCUCCCAUUUUUGCUUUGUGUGGAUACCAAAGCGUUUCCUCAAAAAGGUUAGAUAGCCACGUGAGGUCUUAGAGGAGCCAACAACGCAAGUAUAAUUUCGAAACACCCUAUGCGUGUUUAACAUGUUCAUGAACCUAUGCAUUAAAACAGGUGAGUAUUGGGGCAUGUAGGGGAGCCAGCGGUCCAAUCAAGUUGUUACAUAAGAGUGAGAGGCAAAAUCAUCAUUUCCAGAAAUUUUGUUUUACAGGUAGAUGAAAGUAGUAGGGCAUGCAAGGGAACAAGCAGUCGAGCUAAACUAUUGUAUGAGGGUGAAGGGCAAAAUCAUCAUUUCUAGAAAUUAUGUCAAUUUUGUGUUUUGUUUUCGAAUAUGUACUUUAUAAAUUUUUAGUAACUUUUAGACACCUGAUUUGUAAUAAUGGAGAAUUUUAAUGCAUGUUAAAGUAUUCAUUCCGUUUACACCUUUUUAUACGUUUUUAGA